AUGCUCACUUCGGCAGCACAUAUACUAAAAUUGGAACGAUACAGAGAAGAUUAGCAUGGUCCCUGUGCAAGGAUGACAUGCAAUUUCCACAUUUAAAAACUUCAUGUUU